rnacentral:lncRNA from 1 species
GGGAUCGGUGGGCACCAGCUCCAAGCAGGCACCUGGCAAAACUCCAGUCCUCAACAAAUGCAGCCAAUGGCGUUUGCUAAUGCCAGCAGGCCUGGCCCUGUCCAACUGUGGUCUCCUCCCUCAGCUGGGCCUGCAGCAGCAUCCGGCAACCCUGCUGCUCCUAGUUCAGCUCUUGCUCCCAUCCUCCUCAAAGACCACACUCCACAUCCUCAGACUCUGACAAGCAGGCCAACCCAGUGGUGUGCUGGCAGAUGCUUAACAACAGGCUCUAGAGGAGGUGGGGAAAGCCCUGAUUUGUAGUGUUUGCCCAUUCUUGUGGUAUAAGUAUUCUCACAAGAAUCUGAAUAUGAGGCCAGACUCAGUGGCUCACACCUGUAGUCCCAG